GUGCUCACUUUGGCAGCACAUACACUAAAAUUAGAAUGAUACUGAGAAGAUUAGCAUGGCCCCUGCACAAGGAUGACACGUAAACUCAUGAGGCAUUUCACAUUUUU
rnacentral:snRNA from 1 species